AGCCCACCCUUUAAUUAAUUCACCCCCUUUAAUUAAUUCACCCCCCUCUAAUUAAUCCAGCCCACCCUUUAAUUAAUUCACCACCCCUUUAAUUAAUUCACCCCCCUCUAAUUAAUCCAGCCCACCCUUUAAUUAAUUCACCCCCUUUAAUUAAUUCACCCCCCUCUAAUUAAUCCAGCCCACCCUUUAAUUAAUUCACCACCCCCUUUAAUUAAUUCAAUUAAUCCCAGACAUAAAAUAUCUAGCGGUACUCACAUUUCAAAGAUUCCUUGCCGAGUCCGACCACUGGGAGCCUCACCGCCCGGAAAUGGAUCCUUCCGCUGAAGAUCCGUGAAGGCAGACUGACGGCGCUGCAAAAUGUCGUCAUCACGCGGCGCCACGCUCCUCCUACAGCAGAAGAAGGAAGUCUUGCCGCAAAGGUACAAUGCCUAGGUCUUAUUUUCGGGGUAGGGCUUAUAUUGCAGCCCACCCCGAAAAUCCGACUAGGGCUUAUUUUCGGGGUAGGGUUUAUUUUCGGGGAAACACGGUAGGCAGCACAUUUGGGAUCCCGUAGCUCAUUUAUGAAGACUUCCUUCCUGCAGCUUCUGAAUACUGCAUACUGCAGGUCAGCACUUUUCCUGCACUUUUGUAACUCUGUGCUUGCUGUAUUUCUUAUAAUGUUACAUGGAAAUCAAACUGUCUGUAACUCUGUUAUCAUAUGUUUCUGCAGAAUGGGGGGAGGGUAAUAAAAU